GCACAGUUGUGGAUUUUGUUUCUUGUCUGGUUGUCAUGUUAACAAUCAUUGAUUAUAUUUUUCUCUUCUUGAUUUUGGUAGGCCAUGCAAAAAUAGUGACACAUGACAUAAGAACACUAUCAUUCCUAAGAGAUACUAUUUUACCAAUCGAGUUGCAGGCUCCUUGGAGACACCUUUUAGUGGAGAAUUCAUCAGGACCAAGGCUGCAUCACUUGUUUCAACAGUACUACACGAAAUCCAAUUGCGGAACACACUCGAAACUCUAGUAGAAUUGCUUCUGAGCUUCGUAUAAGAGGACCGCGACGAAGACGAUGAUGAUGAAGCUGAAGAAAAGGAAUACUCAGCUGUAUCAGUUUUAUUGUUAUCAUCUUUUUUACCAUUCUUAGUCAACAGAUUGUGAUACAAAGUUUUCUCUAAUUUCUCUUCAUUGAAACUCUCUUUGCUUGUCCACAAAGGCUUCUCUUCUU
rnacentral:lncRNA from 1 species